rnacentral:rRNA from 1 species
UACGUAGGGGGCAAGCGUUGUCCGGAAUCAUUGGGCGUAAAGAGCGUGUAGGCGGCCCGAUAAGUCCGCUGUGAAAGUCCAGGGCUCAACCCUGGGAUGCCGGUGGAUACUGUCGGGCUCGAGUCCGGAAGAGGAGUGUGGAAUUCCUGGUGUAGCGGUGAAAUGCGCAGAUAUCAGGAAGAACACCAAUGGCGAAGGCAGCACUCUGGGACGUGACUGACGCUGAGACGCGAAAGCGUGGGGAGCAAACAGG